GAGCCAAACCACAGGCAAUGUGCCCUGUGUGAUAACUGUGCCCUGAGUUGAGCCACAAAUUGUCCCAACCCUCAUUAUUCUGAUGGACCCCAAUGAUGAGACUUCACUGUCCCUCAGAAGACCAGCAAUUGAGCAACAAGGAAACAGCAGUGGCCAGGGUUUUGGAGUGACUGCAUGGAGCGGAGACACACCCCUUCUGUGAGCCCAGAUUAUCACACUGAACUGUCCAUGAAUGAGUGAACAGUGAGAUCUAGCUCCAUCUACCAAAACUGGAGAAAUGGAGUUUGGAAGGAGAAGGCCAAAGGCUCUCAGUAACUUGAAGGCAGCACACUUCCUCAGGAAUGAAGAAGGGGCAGCAUCUCGGCCUCACUGGUGGUUGCUCUCCAGGCUUGCCUACAUUUGGGAGCUCAGCUCCUGCUCUGACAUUAUGUCUAUAUAUCUACUUCACUCACUUGUGGAUUCACUCAGGGAUUAUUUCUGGACUCUUGUUCUUUGAUACUUCCCUGAGAAUUCAAGUGAAGACAAAACAGACAGAGACACCUGAGGACACACAAGGGCUGCAUGCCAGAGAAACAGUUCUGCCAUGUGCCUGUCCUUGCACCGCCUGAGCUCCUCAGUAACCUCAGCAUACACUCUAAUGUCAGAUCAUCUUGGGCCAACUCCUACUCAGGUGGUCUCCACCAAGUUGCUAAGCUUCUCUAAGCCUCAGUUUUCCUGUCUGUGGAAUGGAGCUCAACAUGACCCUCUUUUACUGUGAUUAUAAGGCUCACUUAUCAAACAGAUGCCUGUUAAUAAACUCUCAGCAUAUGAA